rnacentral:rRNA from 1 species
AUUGAACGCUGGCGGCAGGCCUAACACAUGCAAGUCGAACGGUAGCACAGAGAGCUUGCUCUCGGGUGACGAGUGGCGGACGGGUGAGUAAUGUCUGGGAAACUGCCUGAUGGAGGGGGAUAACUACUGGAAACGGUAGCUAAUACCGCAUAACGUCGCAAGACCAAAGAGGGGGACCUUCGGGCCUCUUGCCAUCAGAUGUGCCCAGAUGGGAUUAGCUAGUAGGUGGGGUAACGGCUCACCUAGGCGACGAUCCCUAGCUGGUCUGAGAGGAUGGCCAGCCACACUGUAACUGAGACACGGUCCAGACUCCUACGGGAGGCAGCAGUGGUGAAUAUUGCACAAUGGGCGCAAGCCUGAUGCAGCCAUGCCGCGUGUAUGAAGAAGGCCUUCGGGUUGUAAAGUACUUUCAGCGGGGAGGAAGGUGUUGCGGUUAAUAACCGCAGCAAUUGACGUUACCCGCAGAAGAAGCACCGGCUAACUCCGUGCCAGCAGCCGCCGUAAGAC